UUGAGAACGCACACUUCGCAGGGUGGCAGCCCCCCUUUGGCCUGUUGUUGAGGAAUCCCACGGCUUGGGACAGACAGGCACAAGGUGGAGGCUCACAGGAAUGACCUCCAGAAAUCACAUCUAUGACCUGAGCUAAGUGCAGAUGAGAAGCUAACUGUUUGCUCUCACACAACCGUGGAACUGCCUGAACAUGAACGCGCUAGGACCUCCUUUUACCUUGACUUGCUGUGAUGGAAGAAAAGCCUGACUUGGAUCCACCCAGGCACUUUGAAAAACCAGAAGGAUCUUAUUACAGCAUCAGAUCCCUGUGGGACUGAAGUGGAAAAUGACAGGGUUCCAGGCUUUCUGUUCUGCAGACCUGCUGAGUGUGUUUGCCCGGCCCCGUGCCCACUCUCCCUGCUUCUUGAGCUGACACGGACCUGCAGCCCUUCCCUUCUCUAUGCGCUUCUGGCUUCGUGUAACUCACUGAGGCAGGGAAGUUUUAGCAGGAAAAGGGCACUUAGCGGAGAGGGACUGUUAAUUGCUAAAGAAGUUGUCUUCCCUUAGUGUUUUCCUCUCGGGGUGGGGUAGCACUUUAUUCUCCUCUUACUUGUUUUCCACUAGUAAUGGCUGCGAGAGGCCUUAAUUUUUCCUGCCCUGCCCAGUAUGGUAGCCACUGGCCAAUUGUGACACUUUAUAAUUUAAAUUUGAC
rnacentral:lncRNA from 1 species